CCUUCCGUAGGGUGAACCUGCGGAAGGAUCAUUAAUUAUGUUAAAGCGCCUUACCUUAGGGUUUCCUCUGGGGUAAGUGAUUGCUUCUACACUGUGAAAAUUUGGCUGAGAGACUCAGACUGGUCAUGGGUAGACCUAUCUGGGGUUUGAUCGAUGCCACUCCUGGUUUCAGGAGCACCCUUCAUAAUAAACCUAGAAAUUCAGUAUUAUAAAGUUUAAUAAAAAACAACUUUUAACAAUGGAUCUCUUGGUUCUCGCAUCGAUGAAGAACGUAGCAAAGUGCGAUAACUAGUGUGAAUUGCAUAUUCAGUGAAUCAUCGAGUCUUUGAACGCAGCUUGCACUCUAUGGUUUUUCUAUAGAGUACGCCUGCUUCAGUAUCAUCACAAACCCACACAUAACAUUUGUUUAUGUGGUAAUGGGUCGCAUCGCUGUUUUAUUACAGUGAGCACCUAAAAUGUGUGUGAUUUUCUGUCUGGCUUGCUAGGCAGGAAUAUUACGCUGGUCUCAGGAUCUUUUUCUUUGGUUCGCCCAGGAAGUAAAGUACAAGAGUAUAAUCCAGCAACUUUCAAACUAUGAUCUGAAGUCAGGUGGGAUUACCCGCUGAACUUAAGCAUAUCAAUAAGCGGAGGA
rnacentral:rRNA from 1 species